UUUCUUUAUAUCUCUCACAAUUAAUAACUUAAAAACACAGGGAGAGUUAUGCAUUCCUAGUCUCACUGCUACAAUAUUCCUUGUUGAUUUCCUCUCCCACACCGCUGUAAGUCGUCUCUUCAAAAAGCCUCUUUAUCUGAACCAUCCAUCUGAAACAAUUCCAAAACUUGAUGUGGCCCUGACUGGUUCAGGGUCUUCGCUGAUCCAGAUGGAGAAUGAGAAUCAUGGCUGAGGGAGAGGUGCUAAUGAGCAGUGGAAAGACAACAAGAGUUCAUUCAACAAGGGGUGAGAAGGAAGCCUGGAGAGGCCAAAGCCCCUGCCUAAGUGGUAUAGAGAGGAUGCAAACCGGCUGAAGACAGGAGCUAUCAUUAAUGGAAUCUGAACAGUGCCUAACCCCUGUGGAUAUUCAUUGAAUGUUAAGUAACAGCAGGGAUCAGUGAGCCAGAGUCUUUCUUUAAAGUGUCAAUGAAGAGGAACUGUGACCUUCUUACCCUCCUGGCUUGUCUCAGUUUAGCCCCCAGUCUCAUUACAUGGUGUCCUGGAGAGGCUGUCAGAAGUCUCGGUGAAAAGCUUGCUGAUGGGGACGUUAAUGAUUGGUUUGGAAAGAGCCAGGGUUAGUGGGCGUGGACAUGGCUUCCCUCUCAAGAUCUUCGUGGAGCACAAACAUCUUCUUGACAAGGGUCUAAACACUGCUGUGGCAUUACUGGACAAUAGAAGGGUGAAGUGGGAAGAAUGCCCAUGUAUUAUGCAGUACCCACGGAUGGUAUCUUCAAGAUAUGCUCCUCUUCCUGUUUCUGGAUACAGGAAAUAUGGCGCAAGUGGGUAGGAAUGAGACCACUCAGCAGUGGGAAUGUUGAAGGCUCUGUGAUUCCUGCCCCUACAUUUGGUGCGUGAACAGAACUCUUCAGGACUCCCACGAGCUUUCAGAAUAUUCCCUCUGGGCUUUCUUCCUGCCAUUGUGCAAACUUGUCCUCCCUUCAAAUGCUUGGCAGGCCAUGGGCUGGGGCAAUUCCUAGAUACUGAGAAUAUCAGAGCCCCAAGGAGUCUGGGGACCCCAUGAGUCCAGGCUGUGCUUCUACAGAUGGAAGCCCUAGAACUCAGAAAAGUAUCGUAAUUUCCCUAAUGCCAUGCAGCUCAUUGGGUGGGUGGGGCCUGCCCGGGAGGGGAAAGAAUUAAAGUUGUGUGUUCAGGCUUCACCAAUAUUAUUGCAUGUGGUCUUCACAGGCAGUGUGCAUCUGGGAUCAUGAUUCCACUU